GGCGAAAUAAUGGAUCUCAAAUCAGAACUCUUUAUAUAAAGUCUCAGGUAAGUUUUGUUAUUAAUAAGAGAUGGUUUUCUUUUCCUUUCAAUACUCAUUGUUUUUUUCAGUCAACAAGACCUGUUUUAAAACUGCAGCGGCCAGAGAUAUAGAACGAGCCUCAGUUCUUCAGUCUUGCAGUCGGGUCCAGGGGCCGCCAAGACCUGCUCCUUCAUCUGCUCCGUGGCAGCACUCUCAGCCUGAGAUACGUGACCUCUUGCCCGCCAGCUGAGCGGAGUGCGUGACAUCCCACACGAGGGCAGUGAGGCUGGCUCCUUGUCCUCCUUCACGUCGUCAUGCAGGAACUGCUUUUCUCACGGUUUUUCUCAUGUCGGCAACCUUUGUCAGUUUCGUCUCCGUGCCGUGAAGUUGAGCAUCGGCGCCAUCGAUUUUUUUCCUCGGACGUCGGACUUACGUUGUGAGUUGCUCAACAAAAUGAAUAUGAAUUUAGCUGUUUUUUUUCCAUACCCUGUAUAGCAAAAUAUAUGCCUAAGAUUUGUUUGUCGUUAAGGGAAUUUUUUUUUGUACGGAAUAGAAUAGACAAAUGCAA